rnacentral:rRNA from 1 species
CUAAUACCGCAUAACGUCUUCAGACGAAAGUGGGGGACCUUCGGGCCUCGCACCCUCAGAUGUGCCCAUGUGGGAUUAUCUAGUAGGUGGGGUAGUGGCUCACCUAGGCGACGAUCCCUAUCUGGUCUGAGAGGAUGACCAGCCACACUGGAACUGAGACACGGUCCAGACUCCUACGGGAGGCAGCAGUGGGGAAUAUUGCACAAUGGGCGCAAGCCUGAUGCAGCCAUGCCGCGUGUGUGAAGAAGGCCUUCGGGUUGUAAAGCUCUUUCGGUGGGGAAGAGGGCGAUAGUGUUAAUACCUGUGUGUUGUGACGUUACCCACAGAAUAAGCACCGGCUAACUUCGUGCCAGCAGCCGCGGUAAUACGGAGGGUGCGAGCGUUACUCAGAUUUACUGCGCGUAAAGCGCGCGCACGCGGUCUGUCAAGUCAGAUGUGA